rnacentral:rRNA from 1 species
AUGUCCAUGCUUUACUUCUCAACCUCCAACUCGAUGCUCUUUUUCUUGGAGCCUACCAGCGGCAGGAAUACCAUGAGUAGGCCGUCGAGAAUUUUUGCUGGUGGCGAGCCGCUCGUUCAUGGCGGCGCUGGCGCCAACUGCCCCGACCCUUUGUGUCCGCUCCCAACCAUGCUCACCCCUCCUUCUUUGUGA